UACGUAGGGUGCGAGCGUUGUCCGGAAUUACUGGGCGUAAAGAGCUCGUAGGUGGUUAUGUAAGACAGGUGUGAAAUCCCCGGGCUUAACCUGGGAACUGCAUUUGUGACUGCAUAGCUAGAGUACGGUAGAGGGGGAUGGAAUUCCGCGUGUAGCAGUGAAAUGCGUAGAUAUGCGGAGGAACACCGAUGGCGAAGGCAGUCCCCUGGGCCUGCACUGACGCUCAUGCACGAAAGCGUGGGGAGCAAACAGG
rnacentral:rRNA from 1 species